CCAGCAUCAUGGGAGAGGAAUGCACAGCAUAUCAGUAGCCUGGGAAGAGAAAAAUUCAAAAUUCGAAGUAUGGUUUCUACUGAAUUCAAAUCGCUUUCACACCAUCCUGCAGUGGAAAAAUCUGGAAGAUUGGUUUGCUCUGGGAGGAAGCUCCAUCAAAUGGCUCAGGACAUAGCACAUCAGGAAGCCAAGGACAGGGAUAUGCCCUGAUAAUCGAAGUCUACAUACAAAAGCCUUUUCCUAGACUGAAAGACACAGACAGCGCUCCGGCGAGAGGAGCAGACAGCAUGGGAGCUGUUCCACAACCAACCGGAAACCACGCUCCAGAGUAAACCCGCCUUCUCUGUUGUGGUCAGACUCUAUCUCCACCACCACCACUGGGUUUCUCUGAUACAGGCAACAAAACCUUUUUUUCAAAGCCAAGUUAACCAGAGUAAUGAAUGCAAAAUGUACUGAUUUAAGAAUGGAAACUACCAAAUGAGGGUCUGCUUGGGGAACUUUCUAUUUCUUGAGACACAGCUAUUCUUCCACAGAGCAUGCAUUGUUAUGUACGUGGCUGUAACAGGCAGGCCACCCAGGGAUCCAAUUAAAGCACAGAAAUGAGCAGAGGCUGAACCAUAAGGAAAUAUGAGAAGAGACUGUGACUCCGGAUGAGAAUUCAAAUCCUAGCAUCUGAGACAUCAUUCAUUUCAUUAUCUAGAAGACUGGUCAAACUGAAGUCCUAAAACCUCAGCAUGAAUGGCUGCCAAACUCUGGUACUAGUGAUCUAAGAGAAAACAGACAACUGUGCAAGCAAGGGCUCUGCACUCAAAACACCCAGCCAUCAGUCCAAGAAGACCAGAUCCUAGGACUGCAAGCCAAGACAUUACAACCAAUGUGAGCAAUUGCUCUGGUGCAGUCGUGGCCUCAGAUUUAUUGCUUUAAUGGCUAAGGUCACAGGCUAAAGCACUCACCAGAUUCUGCUAUUGAACACAGACACCACCGCCCCUCCUGCCUCCCCUCAUCCAACACCAGGAGUCUGUUAGGGCAGAACUGCACAAAUGGGAAACACCCAUCAAAUGCAGCAGGAAUAUUAACUUCACUAGGAAGCCUUUAUAUGCCAUUACUUUAGAAAGGAGUCCUUGUUAGUCCUACCAUUAAACAAUUAAAUUGUCAGAGAUGAAUUCUGUGCGUGUGUGUGCAGAGCGUGCAUGUGUGUGCAGGCUGUGUAAUUUCCCACUCAGGUGAUGUCUGCAGCAGGUCUCUCUCUGUCUCUCUCUCUCUGUCUCCCUCUCUCUCCACCCCAGUUGUAUGCUUUUCCCCUU